CCGUGCUAGACGGGGAGCUAGCGGUGCCCUGUAACCCACAACCCGCUCCAGUGGGGUCGAAAGCCGCGUCGAGGUCGGUCUGCCUUUGGCCAGUGUCCGGGCAGGAGACGUUGAGGGCCGGGGCCCUGCGCAAGGAGCCUCCUGCCAACCCCGCCAGGACCGGAAGGUAGCAACGGUAGCAGGACGGACUUCUGUGCGACAGUCAGCCUUGCCUGAGUUGAAUGUCCGGAUAACGCAGGGGCAGAACGGUCGGAGCCGGCGGCACGG
rnacentral:SRP_RNA from 1 species